AUUGAACGCUGGCGGCAGGCUUAACACAUGCAAGUCGAGCGGAGUGAUGGUGCUUGCACUAUCACUUAGCGGCGGACGGGUGAGUAAUGCUUAGGAAUCUGCCUAUUGGUGGGGGACAACAUCUCGAAAGGGAUGCUAAUACCGCAUACGUCCUACGGGAGAAAGCAGGGGAUCACUUGUGACCUUGCGCUAAUAGAUGAGCCUAAGUCGGAUUAGCUAGUUGGUGGGGUAAAGGCCUACCAAGGCGAUGAUCUGUAGCGGGUCUGAGAGGAUGAGCCGCCACACUGGGACUGAGACACGGCCCAGACUCCUACGGGAGGCAGCAGUGGGGAAUAUUGGACAAUGGGGGGAACCCUGAUCCAGCCAUGCCGCGUGUGUGAAGAAGGCCUUAUGGUUGUAAAGCACUUUAAGCGAGGAGGAGGCUCUUUUGGUUAAUACCCAAGAUGAGUGGACGUUACUCGCAGAAUAAGCACCGGCUAACUCUGUGCCAGCCGCCGCAGUAA
rnacentral:rRNA from 1 species